AGUCGUGCGAGAAGGAGACUUCGGUCUCUGAGUAGAGCGGCGCACGGGUGAGUAACGCGUGGAUGAUCUACCCUUGAGUUCGGGAUAACGGUGCGAAAGCGCCGUUAAUACCGUAUAACAAUCCAUUUCAUCGUGGGUUCAAAGCAGGCCUCUUCAUGAAAGCUUGCGCUUGGGGAUGAGUCCGCGUCCCAUUAGCUUGUUGGCGGGGUAACGGCCCACCAAGGCAACGAUGGGUAGCUGGUCUGAGAGGAUGAUCAGCCACACUGGAACUGAAACACGGUCCAGACUCCUACGGGAGGCAGCAGUGGGGAAUAUUGCGCAAUGGGGGAAACCCUGACGCAGCGACGUCGUGUGAGGGAAGAAGGCCUUCGGGUCGUAAACCUCUGUCAGAAGGGAAGAACAUCCGGGAGUCGAACAGCCUCCCGGCCUGACGGUACCUUCAGAGGAAGCGCCGGCUAACUCCGUGCCAGCAGCCGCGGUAAUACGGAGGGCGCAAGCGUUAAUCGGAAUCACUGGGCGUAAAGCGUGCGUAGGCUGCUUGAUAAGUCAGACGUGAAAUCCCUCGGCUCAACCGGGGAACUGCGUUUGAUACUGUCGAGCUAGAGUCCUGGAGAGGGUGGCGGAAUUCCUGGUGUAGGAGUGAAAUCCGUAGAUAUCAGGAGGAACACCGGUGGCGAAGGCGGCCACCUGGACAGGUACUGACGCUGAGGUACGAAAGCGUGGGGAGCAAACAGGAUUAGAUACCCUGGUAGUCCACGCGGUAAACGAUGGAUGCUAGGUGUC
rnacentral:rRNA from 1 species